AUUGAACGCUGGCGGCAGGCCUAACACAUGCAAGUCGAGCGAGCGGCGGACGGGUGAGUAAUGUAUGGGGACUGCCCGAUAGAGGGGGAUAAGUACUGGAAACGGUAGCUAAUACCGCAUACUAUAGGAUAACCCAUAGGGGAUUAGCUCGUAGGUGAGGUAAUGGCUCACGUAGGCGACGAUACCUAGCUGGUCUGAGAGGAUGAUCAGCCACAUGGGGACUGAGACACGGACCAGACUCCAAGGGAGGCAGCAGGGGGGAAUUUUGCACAAUGGGCGCAAGCCUGAUGCAGCCAUGCCGUGUGUAUGAAGAAGGUCCUAGGGUUGUAAAGUACUUUCAUUCGGUAGGCGUUACCUACAGAAGAAGCACCGGCUAACUCCGUGCCAGCAGCCGCGGUAAUUC
rnacentral:rRNA from 1 species